AUGGGUAGAUGCAGUCAGCCAGGGCUUCUUGCCCCGGGAUCCAGAGCAGCAGCGGAAGACGUGAGGUGGGCAGUCCAGCACAUGAUGCUCCGAAGUGCUCUGUCCCAGAUCCAGCUUCAGGAGUCAGGACCUGGCCUGGUGUACUCCUCAGAAUCACUGUCCCUCAUUUGCUCUGUCACUGGUUAUUCCAUCUCCAGUGGUUACUUGUGGCACUGGAUCCAGCAGUCCCCAGAGAAGAAGCAGGAGUGGAUGGGGUACAUAAGUAGUGGUGGUGGCACCGGCUACAACCUUACCCUCAAAAGCCGCAUCUCCAUCACAAGAGAAACAUCCAAGAACCAGUUCUUCCUGCAGCUGAGCUCUGUGACCAUUGAGGUCACAGCCACAUAUUGCUGUGCAAGAGAAACAGUAAGGGGUCUUCAGCAUUAG